rnacentral:rRNA from 1 species
CACGUAGGGGGCGAGCGUUGUCCGGAAUCAUUGGGCGUAAAGAGCGUGUAGGUGGACUGGAAGGUCUGGUGUGAAAGCCCGGGGCUCAACCCCGGAGGGUCACUGGAAACCAACAGUCUUGAGUCUGGAAGAGGAGAGUGGAAUUCCUGGUGUAGCGGUGGAAUGCGCAGAUAUCAGGAGGAACACCAAUGGCGAAGGCAGCUCUCUGGUACAUGACUGACACUGAGACGCGAAAGCGUGGGGAGCGAACAGG